rnacentral:lncRNA from 1 species
GGAGAGCAGGAUAGCUACUCCGACUCUUUUUCUGAAAGCCUAAGCCCCCGCAGAGCUGGAGGAGAUGCGUCUUAUCAUCCGACUGGCUAAGUCAUUUGAUGGUUUGGGAUCUGGCGGAAAAGAUGUGUUUGAACAAACCCCAAUGGGGAGGGCAGCCGAUGAAACACUCGCACAAAACUAUAAAGGCAGAAAGAUGGGCGAUGGCAUUCGGAGGAAAAUGGUGAAGUUGGG